rnacentral:rRNA from 1 species
GAUGAACGCUAGCUACAGGCCUAACACAUGCAAGUCGAGGGGAAACGACAUCGAAAGCUUGCUUUUGAUGGGCGUCGACCGGCGCACGGGUGAGUAACGCGUAUCCAACCUGCCCAUCACUUGGGGAUAACCUUGCGAAAGUAAGACUAAUACCCAAUGAUAUCUCUAGAAGACAUCUGAAAGAGAUUAAAGAUUUAUCGGUGAUGGAUGGGGAUGCGUCUGAUUAGCUUGUUGGCGGGGUAACGGCCCACCAAGGCAACGAUCAGUAGGGGUUCUGAGAGGAAGGUCCCCCACAUUGGAACUGAGACACGGUCCAAACUCCUACGGGAGGCAGCAGUGAGGAAUAUUGGUCAAUGGGCGAGAGCCUGAACCAGCCAAGUAGCGUGCAGGAAGACGGCCCUAUGGGUGGUAAACUGCUUUUAUAAGGGAAUAAAGUGAGAGUCGUGACUCUUUUUGUAUGUACCUUAUGAAUAAGGACCGGCUAAUUCCGUG